GGCAGCGCCGCGGCCGGGAGGGACCGAGCGGGGAGCAAGGCCUGCGGGGAGGCGCAGGAUGGACGCGUUGGCUGUCAUGAUGUAGGACCUCCUGACCUAGAACCAUGCCCGGCGCAGGGAGAACAACGAGCUUACGGACCGGGUGCGGGGGCUGCUGUGCGAGAAAGCCUACCUGCUGGCCCGGGAGCGUUCGCCGGCCCACCUGGUGGCUUUCCCUGGACGUUUAACGGCGACUCCGCCCGGCCUCCCGACUUUUUGAUGCAGGCGUUCUCUUACAUGACUUUCUUCGAGGCUAGAUUCUCGAAAGACAUCCUGAAGGUGGCUUUCUUAAUUAGCUGCCUCACCGGCUGGCGGAGCAGUUCGUAGUCGCCUACAUCGAGAGGGAGAGCCCCGUCCUGGCUCAGUACUGGGGCUUCGUGGACGCGCUGUAGCGGGUCUUCGCCGUCGUGGGUAGGAAACAGUCGGGCCGGAUCCCCGGUGUCUGGGGAGCGGCUGCCGGCCGGGCCCGCGCGAGCCGCUUCACUCCUACAAGCCCGGCUCACUAGUUCCAAGCUGCUGGACUUUGACCCUCGCUGGGAAGCUUGAUCGCCGCCUGUUCUCGCCAAUCUCUAUGCCUUUGCACUGCCCAGCAACCCGGUCACUGCCCAGGACCUGUUAAAAGUUGAAUGGACCUCCCAGAAUCACGCCGCUGCCACCGCCGUUUCUAGAGACGGCUUUUGGCCACCUUUGAGAAUCAGGGUCAAACUUGGAAGGGCCUGCAUUUGUCACACUUCCUCGGACACUAAUUUGGAUAGUUCAGGCCCAGAGACGGCUUCCCGGGUUAGUGUGCCUGACAACACUGAAGAAAAAUUGUGACAUUUUCCUUCCCCAGAAUUACUUCGUUUUAUACAUUUCACUUCUCUUCUGAAAUCACAGCAAUGCCAGUUUGCGCCUUUUGGUCUGAGGAACGCAGGCCCUGGCCACUACCAGGAAAAAGUAUUUACUUUUAAAACUUGAAUGUAUAUCUUUACCGUAUGCCUAGUACAGUAGUGCUUGGAAGAAACAGAUUAGUAAGACAAAAUAUAUGUCUUCAAGAACACUUACGUUCUGAGAAAGAAUUCUGAAUGCAGAUUCUAAUGUCUGAUCCUUUGCACAUGGCCUGCUAUCAACAAUCCUCUACAAUGAUUCUCAGCAUCACCUAGGGAGCUUAUGUAAAAUCUCAAAUUCCUGGGCCCUAUCCCCAGAGUUUCUUAUCAAUUUCCUUGAUGGAGAACUAUCAAAGCAGUCAAAGCUAUCAAAAUAAAAAA
rnacentral:lncRNA from 1 species